UACGUAGGGUGCAAGCGUUAUCCGGAAUUGUUGGGCGUAAAGAGCUCGUAGGCGGUUUGUCGCGUCUGCCGUGAAAGUCCGGGGCUCAACUCCGGAUCUGCGGUGGGUACGGGCAGACUAGAGUGCAGUAGGGGAGACUGGAAUUCCUGGUGUAGCGGUGAAAUCCGCAGAUAUCAGGAGGAACACCGAUGGCGAAGGCAGGUCUCUGGGCUGUAACUGACGCUGAGGAGCGAAAGCAUGGGGAGCGAACAGG
rnacentral:rRNA from 1 species